AGAGUUUGAUCCUGGCUCAGGAUGAACGCUAGCGGCAGGCUUAACACAUGCAAGUCGAGGGGCAGCAUAAUGGAUAGCAAUAUCUAUGGUGGCGACCGGCGCACGGGUGCGUAACGCGUAUGCAACCUACCUUUAACAGGGGGAUAACACUGAGAAAUUGGUACUAAUACCCCAUAAUAUCAUAGAAGGCAUCUUUUAUGGUUGAAAAUUCCGAUGGUUAGAGAUGGGCAUGCGUUGUAUUAGCUAGUUGGUGGGGUAACGGCUCACCAAGGCGACGAUACAUAGGGGGACUGAGAGGUUAACCCCCCACACUGGUACUGAGACACGGACCAGACUCCUACGGGAGGCAGCAGUGAGGAAUAUUGGUCAAUGGGCGCAGGCCUGAACCAGCCAAGUCGCGUGAGGGAAGACGGUCCUACGGAUUGUAAACCUCUUUUGUCGGGGAGUAACGUGCGGGACGCGUCCCGUAUUGAGAGUACCCGAAGAAAAAGCAUCGGCUAACUCCGUGCCAGCAGCCGCGGUAAUACGGAGGAUGCGAGCGUUAUCCGGAUUUAUUGGGUUUAAAGGGUGCGCAGGCGGCGCGCCAAGUCAGCGGUCAAAGUUCCGGGCUCAACCCGGUGUCGCCGUUGAAACUGGCGUGCUCGAGUGCGUGCGAGGAAGGCGGAAUGCGUUGUGUAGCGGUGAAAUGCAUAGAUAUGACGCAGAACUCCGAUUGCGAAGGCAGCUUUCCAGCGCGCUACUGACGCUGAGGCACGAAAGCGUGGGGAUCGAACAGGAUUAGAUACCCUGGUAGUCCACGCAGUAAACGAUGACUACUAGCUUUCCGGGAUGAUUGAGUCCUGGGAGGCACAGCGAAAGCGUUAAGUAGUCCACCUGGGGAGUACGCCGGCAACGGUGAAACUCAAAGGAAUUGACGGGGGCCC
rnacentral:rRNA from 1 species